rnacentral:rRNA from 1 species
CAGCAGCCACGGUAAUGCGUAGGGGGCAAGCGUUAUCCGGAAUUACUGGGUGUGAAGGGAGCGUAGACGGUUAAACAAGUCUGAAGUGAAAUGCCGGGGCUCAACCCCGGAGCUGCUUUGGGAACUGUAGAACUGGAGUGUCGGAGGGGUAAGCGGAAUUCCCAGUGUAGCGGUGAAAUGCGUAGAUAUUGGGAGGAACACCGGUGGCGAAGGCGGCUUACUGGACGACAACUGACGUUGAGGCUCGAAGGCGUGGGUAGCAAACAGGAUUAGAUACCCCGGUAGUCCCUGUCUCUUAUAA